UCCGAUUGCGGUUGGACACACUGGCCUACAUAGAUUAAGGCCCUACGAGGUCCUAUCGCGGCGAAGGAACGACGGGAACGAUUUUCGAUGGGGCCAUCUCUACGUGACUGGAAUCUAGACGUUGGCCACGCGGGACUUCUCUCCGUGGGCUUCGUCGAUCCUCGAUCCCGGUCGGCACAAUUUUCCACCGUUUUCUCAGUAUUGUGGUCGCGCCAUAGCAAAUUGGUUGCACGUGCGUCGGACUCUUUGUGCCUCGACCGGUGUAGCGGAUGGACGAUUUCUGGCUGGUAAUUGUGUCCUCGGAUUGCGGAUGGUCUUUGGGGAAAUGUGGAGACGAGGAGUUGGGAAUACCCUUGAACCAAAUUCAACGGACGAUGUUUUUAAUGGGCGAGAUCGAAGAGGCAAACGUGUCAAAUCAGCCUCGAAGGAGAUGCCAUUUUACUUUAUUUUCGGAUUCAGGAGAUAAAAAUAAUAAAUCAGACUCGGAGAAGAGUUUCACCCAGUGACCUAUCACUAUCUUCCGGCGUAAAAGGAUCGCAGUGAUCAAAUGUUGGACGUUCUAAGAAGUGCUCGAAGGCAUCACAAAUAAUGGCAAGUUGAAUGGUAGGAAGUGCAUCUUUAUGGGAACGAUAAAACAGUACUACACGGAGAAUUCGUCAUGCCUGUAAAAAAAUAACGUCCGGAGACCGGUGUUUGCGAACGAUAAGAACGCGUCCAUCCGUGAGAGCCAUUUUGGAAAAUCAGGCUUUUCAGAUAAACAGUCCUCGCAGUUGCAUCUUUUAACGUCUGUGAAGAUGAAGUGACCGUGCGUCGUCCGACGUGGAAUAAUAUCAGAAGCAGCAGCUUAAUUCUUAUGUACACAGCCAGAUACUCACUUCCACUUUAAUCUAAAGAUUUAUUAUGUUCUGAUUGGAGUAUUUAAAAAUCUUUUUAGAUACUCUUUCGUCAGACUUCUUUGAGUCGGAACAACUUUAAUAAAUAAAGAUUCUUGUACAUACUAAACAGUUAGUAUUUUUGUAUUUAAAUUGAUAAAUUAUUACAUUGUUUGUAAUAAUAACAAUAAAAUCAAAUAUAUUUUUCCAAAGUCUCACCACCAAGUCACCAUUCUGUAUAAAAUUUGCUUCAGAUAAACACUUGGGUUAAACAGGUACUUAUCCGACUGUGGAACAACGUGAUUGUUAUGGUUGUGCACAUAAUAGUUAAACGUGAAGUUGACC